GUCUACCCUUCUCCGCCUGGGCCCGCCGCCCAGCUCGCGUCCCCCUGGCGCGGGGGUCAAGAGCCCAAUGCCGCUGGCGUGCGAGAAGGCGCCGAACCGCCGGAGCUGGCAGGGAGCAGGGGGUGUUCACGGCUCUGCCCAAAGGCCUGGUCGGUCCGCCAGCCUCAGUUUCCCCAUCUGCGCCGGGAGGAGCAGGAAUGAGCUAAAGGUCCCCAUGCUGAGAUUCCAGGAGUGGGCCACAAAGAAACAAUCAUGGUAAUAGAACGGAGACGGGCUGGCCCGGGAAGUGCUGCGGUUUCUGGUCUCCUGGAAUCCUCGCUCAAAGUGGAGGUGCCCCUGGCAUUACAAGGCCGUGGUGACAACCCCUCUUGGCUUUGCCACUUGCAGGAAAGCUAUCUGUGUUGACGUCCUGUGACACCAUGGCCCUGUCUGUAUUCCCUCCUCCUAUCCCCUGCCUCUGAGGAGGAAUCCCGAGAUGACGAGAUAAGUAUGUUCAGAAUGAUUGAAAAUGUAAAAUAAGUAAUAAAAAAAAAAGCUAAC